AAUCAACGCUGGCGGCGUGCCUAACACAUGCAAGUCGAACGCGAAAGGGGCUUCGGCCCUGAGUAGAGUGGCGAACGGGUGAGUAACGCGUGGGUGACCUACCCUCGAGUGGGGGAUGACGUUCCGAAAGGGACGCUAAUACCGCAUGACAUUCCGGGUUCGAAGACCUGGAAAUCAAAGCCGGGGACCGCAAGGCCUGGCGCUCGAGGAGGGGCCCGCGUCUGAUUAGCUAGUUGGCGGGGUAAUGGCCCACCAAGACGAUGAUGCGUAGCCGACCUGAGAGGGUGACCGGCCACACUGGGACUGAGACACGGCCCAGACUCCUACGGGAGGCAGCAGUAGGGAAUUUUCGGCAAUGGGCGCAAGCCUGACCGAGCAACGCCGCGUGAGUGAUUAAGGCCUUCGGGUUGUAAAGCUCUGUUGUAAGGGAAGAACAUUCAGGAUAGGAAAUGAUCUUGAACUGACGGUACCUUACCAGAAAGCCACGGCUAACUACGUGCCAGCAGCCGCAGUAAGAC
rnacentral:rRNA from 1 species